AAUGUGAAAAAAUGGAGGUGCAACUCUAAGUAGCACCACUGGCACCCUUUCCUUUCUUUCUCUGGAGUUUCUUCAUGUAAAACUCAAGUUCCUUACCCUCCAAGAUGUAAAAGUAGUAGCUGUUGAACUUGUUUCCAGUGAGUUUUUAAAAUGUAGUCAAUUGUAGUUUCAAGUUCCUUACCCUCCAAGAUGUAUCUGUCAAAGUUCAAUGAAGAACAAGUGUAAAUCUUUCUGGAAAACAGAAAUAAUCCUUCUCUAACACCAUGAAAAACAGAAAUAAUCAUGAACCUUAUUGAGGAGAUGUUCAUCUUCCUAGUAAUAAUCUCAACGCUAAGAGUAGUUAAUAAAAUUUACCGGGACGUUGGGAACAACAGACUUGUAGACAAAUAUAACAUUAUCAUUCAUAUGGGAUUUGGCAUUUUUCACCUAAAUAUCAUACAGAAUCAGAAGAGAACUCGUACCCAUCGGCACGACCACACUGGCCAGGUCGUGAUGAGAUUGCAGCCAAUAGUCGCCCACUAGCAAAUUGCUCCUCAAUAUGUGGGUCAAUCUUGCGAUCCUGUUGCCGCUUUUGCAGC
rnacentral:lncRNA from 1 species